AUGUACUCUGCUCCCUCCAGAUUUCAGGGGGAUUCACUUUCCACGAUUGAUUUUGACAACAAGAAUAAUAGAAAAUUUCCACACUCACUUUGUCUCUCUCUUCCAUCUUCAACUUUCACUAUGCACCUUCUUUCAACCUCCAUUGUCUCUUUCAUCUGGAAUCUUCACACUCUUCUUUAUCUUCAUCCAAUGAAAAACCAGAAAGAAAGCUUCUCCGUACUCACUCUAAAUUCAGCGUAG